GCUGCUGUUGGGAGACCCUGGUCUGCACUCUAUCUGUAUUCUUACUGAAGGGAGUGCAGGGCAGGGUUUCCCAUACAGAGGG
rnacentral:pre_miRNA from 1 species